UACGGGGGGGCAAGCGUUGUUCGGAAUUACUGGGCGUAAAGGGCUCGUAGGCGGCCAACUAAGUCCGACGUGAAAUCCCCAGGCUUAACCUGGGAACUGCGUCGGAUACUGGAUGGCUUGAAUCCGGGAGAGGGAUGCGGAAUUCCAGGUGUAGCGGUGAAAUGCGUAGAUAUCUGGAGGAACACCGGUGGCGAAGGCGGCUCCUGGCCG
rnacentral:rRNA from 1 species